GGGGGUGGAUGGUGCCUGGUGGUGCUCCUGGUCUUCAAAACCAGUCGUCGGGCGGCCAACCCGUCCGUGGUGGGUUCGAUUCCCACCCACUCCCGCCA
rnacentral:tRNA from 1 species